AGCUCCUCCCCCCCCGCCCAACGAAGAGAUAUAAAUGGUCUAUAAACAUAUCAACAUAUUCCCUAUUUAAAAUGCAUGCAAAUUAAAGUUACUCUGAAAUAUUGUUUCACCUAUCUGAUUGGCAAAGAUUAAAAAGGUUAUUAAUUUCAGUGUUGGCACGGCUGUGAAUAAACAGACAACUCUCAGAUAUUGUUGGUAGGAAUGCAAACCAACAUAACCUUUUGGAGAGCAAUUAGGCAACAUUUAAUAGAAAUGUUAAUAUUCACAUCCUUUUGAUUCUGUAAUCUCACAUCUAGGAAUUUAUCCAACAGAAAUAAGUUCACAAGUGCUCAAGAGAAGAGCGUACAGGAAGUGUAAUGCAGUAUUGUAUAUAAAAGCAAAAGUUGGAAACAACCCAGAUGCCCAUUAAUAGGAAAAUAUAAAAUAAAGUAUUGCACAUCUAUACACUCAUAUACCACAGUGUCAUUAACAAGAAUGACACCAAUUCUGGGUGUCAUUACAAACGUGCUUAACAUGCACUGGUAAGUUAAGAAAAGAAAGCUGUAGAGCUGUAUGGAUAGUGUGAUCCUAUUUGGUCAAGUAUGCUAACCUAUACUAAAGAAAAAGUCUACAGGAAUAGUCACCAAACCAUUAACUUUUUUUUUUUACAUUUAUUUCUGACAAGUGAGAUUCUGUGGCUUGUUCAUUUUCAUUCAAUUUAUUCAUUUUUUUCAACAAAUAUUUAUUGGUCACCUACCACUUGACAGGCAGUGUGUUGGAUUCUAGAGAUACGGUAGUAAACACCCAAAGCCAUUGAUCUAAAGGAGCUAGAAUUCUAUAUUUUCACAACACCGGAAUUCUUUACAACAAACAUUCUUAUCUUUUUAGGAAAAAUAAUGUUAGACAUUUGAAAGUAAAUAAAGAGAUUAUUUUAUUUCCUAACAAGCCCUCUUCUUUUUUUUUCUUUUUUAGUUUUACUAGCAAGCCCUCUUUACCCCGCUUUGAAUCCACUGUGCCAGCCUCUGGUCCCCUGUCUCCCUGCUCUCUCCAGUGUUUCCCCUCUUUUCCUACAAACUACCCAGACCCCACCCAGUCUUUGGGCCCAGCUUGUGGCCAAGCUCUCUGAUGAAGCUGUCAGUGAUACCCCCUCCCCCCCAAACUGUGAUACCUCCCUCUGAAUUGGCAAUGAACGCUCACAGACCACCCUAUUCUGCACUCAAUCAUGUGUGAUUCCCUAGGAGCCAGGGGCUGUGUCCCAAUAUCCAACACAGUUAAUGCCUGGCACACAGAAGGUACUCAAUAAAUGUUGGUUGAAUGGGGACCGUGUUGGCAAUGGAGGUGCACUGCUCAGGUCACCCUUCAAGAGAACUUGCUGGGGUGCACAGAUGACUGAGAGCCUCCAGCAGCUAUGCCUUCGGAUCCCCUCUGGAAUUCUUGCUGAGGCGCUGCUUCCCUGGGCUUCUCCCUGUCAGUGACCAAGCAUAGUGGGGAUACCAGAACCCGUUGUUUCUGUUUGAUGCAGGACACCUUAGUAGGCCACCUUUGCGUGGGGACUCCCCAUUGACCUGGCUGCAUGGCAGAACUGCAUGGCAGCCUGACGCUCUUCCUACCCAAGCCUCCUCCCUUCCCACCCUCCUUUCCCAGUUGUCAGACCUGCAUCAUGGUCUGAAGCCUCUCCUUCCCUUUUCCUCUUCCUUCCCUCUUUAUCCAACACAACCAUUUCUCCCAGGGGAAAAACAAACCAUCUUGGCAUUUGAUUCUCAGAGGACCCAAACCAACACAGGAAUCAGUGAAAAAUUACCGGAAGAGAACUCUUAACUAAUAAGAAUAUAAAUCCACUUACAUAAGAGACUUAUAGACAGAGAUGUGUUGGAUCCAUGCUUCAGAAACUUUGUGCACAUGAAUCACCUGGGGAUUGUGUUGAAAUAAAGAUUCUGAUUCAGCAGGUAUGGGACGGACCCAAGAUGCUGUGUUUCUAAGAAGCUCCCAGGUGGUACCAACGCUGCUGGUCCAAGAACCAUACUUUGAGCAGCAAGGUGCAGGAAUUUUUAUUUGCCCUGCUCCUUCUGCUCCCUGCUCUGAACCCUGGGAGGCCCACUGUGAGGACUCCAUCAACAGGCCCCAAAGGAGCCUCUGACUAAAAGUUGGGUUUGGCCAGUGAGGAGCACAAGCAGGAGAUCAGAAGGCAAGAGGAAGAUGAGGUCAGAGGGUUUUAUUUCUCUGGGGAUCGCUCCCGUCUGGGUUGCUGUGGGUUGGUUGUGUUCCUCUACCAAAGGCCAUGGCUCCCAUCAGGUAGAUCGCUCCCGUUUUCUCUCUUGCAGAAUUCCAGUAACUGCUGUCUCGUACCCCUGGGGUGGUAAUGGCUCCUUACUGUGUGUGGACCAGUCGUGGAGUUCUGCACCAACCCUUGUGAAUCUUAGUAAACCUGGUCCACACUUCUGGAAUUAGUCCUUUAGUAAACGUUCCUCAUUUCCUCAGCCAAGAGUGCCACCUGUCUCCUGCUGGGACCCUGACUGCUACAAGCACUGUUCAAUGCAGGAUAUUUUUAUAACAGCAGAAAACUGGCAACAAACUAAUUGUGCAUCAUUAAAAAUGAUUACAUUUAUGGUACAUCUGCUUAAUGGUGUUAUAUGCAACCAUUAAAAAGAAUGCAAUAGAUCUAUAUUCACUUACACGGAAAGAUGCUUAAACCAUUUAAGUGAAAAAAAAAUCCCACAAGAUUCAGAACAGCAUAGAUAAUAUGAACCCAUUCAUUUAAAAAGUAAAAUAUGCAUUUCUUAACGCUUGCAUUGCAAGUGACCUAUGACAGCCCCGCUUAAAACAUAUCUAGCAACACAACACAAAAAAGCGGGCGUGGGAGGGCGGAAUUCCUGACUCCAUCUCUUCCUAUCACUUGCCUCUGCUUUCCUGCACGGUGGCUUCACUCUCAGGCAGGCUGUCUUCAAGUCGUGGCAGAGUGAGCACCAGCUUGGCUUACAACAUCCUGACAUCCUGACAACUGACAACCUCCUCAGAGAGGGCCUCACUCCCAGUUGCUUUAACAAAAAAUCCUGGCCCGAAGCCAUUAGGAUUGGCGAGGACAUACACUAAGCACUGAACCACAUGAACUGAGAGUUGGGGAAGGAGGUUCCCCAAAAGGACGAGGGUGACUCUUCCCAGGGAAGGGGAGGCAGGGCAGGUGUAAGCAACAGGUGUCCACACUGGAGGGAGUAUUGGUAGUGGACAUUUGUUAUCCUUUUUGGCCGCCCAGCACCUGAAGCCUUCCUAUCCUGGAGAGUCUCCUACUUUCUGGGGCACCUAUACUGGAGCCUACCGCCCCCUACAGAUGCCGAAAAUGCCAGAAACACUUCCCCACUCUCCCUUUCUGCCAAGCAAAACACGACCCAGGCUAUUCAGACACCCCAUCUCAGGCUCUGACUCUGAAGCUGCUGACACCAAAAAGGGCCUGUGCAGACACCACCCUGGUAUAGGGUGCAGCCAUGGCAUAUUGGGACAUUGUUCCUGGUUGGGGACCUCUGAGACUGGUUCUCUGAUACUCAUGGGAUCUGUGAGCUAUGAAGAAACCUUGGAUUAAAUCCCCAUUUGGCUUAAAUCCUUCAGGGGGUUCAUUUCUGCUGCUUGCAGUCAAGAAGCUUGUUUAAUGCCUAUAUGAAUGUUUGCAUUUUGGGAAAGAUAAACUAAAUGUGAAUAUUGGUUACCUAUGGGGAGUAGGUCUGGAAGCGUGGGGGAGGAGGGAAAGGGGCUUUUUCUUUCUUUAUGCCCUUUUGUACUGGUGGAAUUUAUUUUUUACAUGCAUAUUACUUUUAUAAUGAAACAACUACUUAGUAAAAAAUAUAAGACACCUGAAUAAAUAGAAUAAGACAAGGAUUCAAUUGCUCAGGGUUUUCACAGAAACAAAAGUCUUCAUUAGACCUUCAAAAAGAAGUCAUCUUCACUUCUAUUGUGGUGAAUGGGGCCAAAUCUGGCAACGAGUGACAGUGGACCACCUCUGACACUGCCUAGGUGAUUUCCUCUAUCCCUGUAAUUCACCUGCCCAAACGUUUUCCAUGGCUCCCCACUACUCACAGAAUAAAUCCCACUGUCUUUAUCCUGGCACUGAAGUGUUUUGCAAUCCGAGCCCUGUGGACUUUCGAGACUUUUCCUUAUUUUUACACUUUGCCUAGAAGACCUUUACUUCCAGCCCUACUGGCUCAGAGCUUAAGGGUAUUACCAUCUUCUUUGAUCUGCCAACGCCAUGACUCAUUCUUUCCUUACACCUUCACCGAGUUCUGCUCUGUAUUAUAACUCUAUAUAUGAGACUGAGUCAUUUAACAGUCAUGUAUUGAGCACCUAUUGAAUGCCUGGUCUUUUGCUAGGCUUUGAAGUCACAGCUCACAAUCUAUGGAAACCAAUUACCUCGUAUCAGAAUGUUAAUGUUAUCACGAUGAGCAGGUGGCAUCAGCAAUUUUGCAGGCAGGGCUGCUCUUGUUAGAAUCUUUCCCUCUGCCUGGAUUGCACUCUCCCCAAGUAUUAACAUGACUCGAUUUCUCAAUUCCUUCAGGUUUCUGUGCAAAUGGCACAUUCUCAGUGACACCUUCUCUACCCACCCUAUUAUAAAAUCACAUCCCGUCCUCUGUCCAAUCGGCAUGGGUUAUAUUCUAUUUACUGUUUAAAUAGCACUCAUCACCAUCUCACAUACACCUUACUUGCUUGUGUAGUGACAGCCUGUCUCUUUCCACUGUUAGGUCUAGGAAGGCGGGAAGUUUCUUUUGUUCCCUGAAGUUUUUCCAGUGCUUAGAACAGUACCUGGCACAUAGUAGGUUCUCAAUGAAUAUUUGUUGAGAAUAGAAAACCAGACGUCAGAAGACGUGGGUUCUAGUUACAACUCUCCCGCAGGAUAGCCGUGGGGCCUCUAGCAAGACACUCUUCAAGCCUCAGUCGCCUCCUCUGUAAAUUGGGCAUGAUCAUCUGGUGGCUGACAGGACGGCUAUGAGGAUCAAACAGGAGGUCUCAGGCUUAACUUGCAUCAGAUUCACCUGGAGGGCUUCUUAAAAUACAGAUGGCAGGACUCCACACUCAGUUUGUAAUUCAGUAGGUGUGGGUGAAGUCAGAAAGUGCAAUUGUAGCAAUGUCCCCUAUGGUAGCUGAUUCUUGAACCAUUGUUGAAGAGAGAUAUGGUACCACAAGGCGCUUGUUGCCCUAACGGCCCGGCCCAGCUAAGGUCUGGCACUAAGGGCCCCGCAGGACGUUGUGGGGGGACAGAGUCGACCCAUCCCUUCCUUAAUUCAGUCAACAACUAUUUAGGAGGCGCCGCUGGCCAGGCCGCUGCGACGGUGGACCUCAGACCCGGGCCUAGAGGUCCGGCGCUCGCAGCAUCAGGAAGGCUGGGCAGCCAGUCCGACCUCCGUACAGCAGAGGAAGUCUCCGGAGCCGCGGGAAGGGACGCAGGCCGGCGCGAAGAAGGCAAAGGUGGACCCGCGAGCCAGGGCCCCAGACGCUGCUCCGAGCUUCCCGGAACCUGCGGUCCCUUAUCAACCCGCGACGCGGCGGUGGCGGCGCAACCUCGCCUCAAGCGCGCGCCCGGCACACAGUAGGCGCUCCGCCCCGCGCCCGGCGCGCGCCCGGCACAUAGUAGGCACGCGAGCCGGCGGAAGGGGGCGCCAGCGCACGGUAUCCGGGGGGCGGAGUCAGCGCCGCUGGCGGGGCAGACGGGCGCGGGCCGCGCGGGCCGUGAUGGGUGAGGGCGGCCUGCCCCCGGCCUUCCAGCUGCUGUUGCGCGCCUGUGACCAGGGUGAUACGGAGACGGCGCGGCGGUUGCUGGAGCCGGGGGCAGCGGAACCGGCGGAGCGCGGCGCGGAGCCCGAGACGGCCGCAGAGCCGGCGGGGGCCCAGGCGGCUGGGCCCGGGGCGGCAGCGGCGGCUGGAGCGCCCGUGCCUGUGGACUGUUCGGACGAGGCGGGCAACACGGCGCUGCAGUUCGCCGCGGCCGGGGGCCACGAGCCGCUGGUACGCUUCCUGCUACGCCGCGGAGCCUCAGUCAACAGCCGCAACCACUACGGCUGGAGCGCGCUCAUGCAGGCUGCCAGAUUUGGGCAUGUGAGCGUGGCACACCUGCUUUUGGAUCACGGGGCUGAUAUCAAUGCCCAGAACCGACUGGGGGCCAGCGUGCUCACUGUGGCCUCUCGGGGUGGCCACCUGGGCGUGGUGAAGCUGCUCCUGGAAGCUGGUGCCUUUGUGGACCAUGACAAGCCCUCAGGCGAGCAGCCGGGGGCAGGGGACAGCAGGGACGAGCUGCUGGACAUCACAGCCCUGAUGGCUGCCAUCCAACACGGGCAUGAGGCUGUGGUGCGUCUGCUGCUAGAGUGGGGUGCGGACCCCAACUACGCAGCCCGGACCGUGGGCUGGAGCCCACUGAUGCUGGCAGCGCUCAUCGGAAGGCUUGGCGUGGCCCAGCAGCUGAUGGAGAAGGGGGCCAACCCUGACCACCUCAGCGUGCUGGAGAAGACUGCCUUCGAGGUUGCGCUUGACCGCAAGCACAGGGACCUUGCAGAUUACCUGGACCCACUGACCACCGUCAGGCCCAAGACAGAUGAGGAGAAAAGGCGACCUGAUAUUUUCCAUGCACUGAAAAUGGGAAACUUCCAGCUGGUCAAAGAGAUUGCCGACGAAGACCCCAACCACGUGAACCUGGUCAAUGGGGACGGGGCCACCCCCCUGAUGCUGGCGGCCGUCAUGGGGCAGCUGCCCCUGGUGCAGCUGCUGGUGGAGAGGCAUGCUGAAAUUGACAAGCAGGACAGCGUGCACGGCUGGACAGCCCUCAUGCAGGCCACUUACCAUGGGAAUAAGGAAAUUGUCAAGUAUCUGCUAAACCAAGGGGCUGAUGUCACUCUUCGUGCAAAAAACGGGUACACGGCCUUUGACCUAGUGAUGCUGCUGAGUGAUCCUGACACGGAACUUGUUCGACUGCUGGCAUCUGUCUGCAUGCAGGUGAAUAAAGACAAAGGCCGGCCCAGCCACCCACCACCCCCACCCCACUCGAAGGUCCGACAGCCCUGGAGUGUCCCAGUGCUGCCCGAUGACAAAGGCGGGCUUAAGUCCUGGUGGAACCGAAUGUCCAAUCGGUUCCGGAAGCUGAAGCUGAUGCAGACCCUGCCCCGUGGGCUGUCCAGCAACCAGCCAUUGCCUUUCUGUGAUGAGCCGGAGCCAGCUCUGGACUCCACAAUGAGGGCGCCCCCCCAGGACAAGACAAGCCGCUCUGGGCUCCCCGAUGUGGCCCCCACAAUGAAAGACACUGGUCCUGGGAGCACAAGAGGAGAAAAGGAAGAUGUGUUAUUGACAACCAUGCUUCGAAAUGGAGCCCCCUUCACCAGGCUUCCGAGCGACAAGCUGAAGGCAGUCAUCCCCCCUUUCUUACCCCCUUCCAGCUUUGAGCUGUGGAGCUCGGACCGGUCCCGGACAUGUCACAACGGAAAGGCAGACCCCAUGAAGACUGUGCUGCCCCAGAGAGUCAGCAGGGGCCACCCUGUGGGCAGCGGUAACACAGACACUACCCCUGUCAGGCCAGUUAAAUUUCCAUCUCUCUCAAGAAGUGCGGCCUCUCCUACCAAUUCUGGAAACUUCAACCACUCACCUCAUUCCUCAAGUGGCUCCAGUGGGGUAGGGGGCAUGAGCAGGCACGGUGCAGAGCUGCAUAACCGCUCAGGUGGCAGCAUAGACAGUGUCCUGUCCCAGAUCGCUGCCCAGCGGAAAAAAGCAGCCGGACUGUCUGAGCAGAAGUCCAGCCAUUGGUCGAGUCCUGUUGGGCCAGCACCCGGGUCCAGUCCAUCCGAGCUUCCGGUCUCCCCUGCAGGCGGUGGCAGUCUGGGUGGCAAGAAACUGGAGACGAGCAAAAGGCCUCCAUCUGGAACUUCCACUACCUCCAAAAGCACCUCCCCCACGCUCACGCCCUCCCCUUCACCCAAAGGCCACACGGCUGAGUCCUCCGUGUCCUCUUCCUCAUCUCACCGGCAAUCCAAAAGCAGCGGGGGCUCCAGCAGUGGCACCAUUACCGAUGAGGAUGAGCUGACUGGAAUCCUUAAGAAAUUGUCACUUGAGAAAUAUCAGCCCAUUUUUGAGGAGCAAGAGUCUGCAUCUCUCUUGUCUUCUGGGGGGAACUGUGGUGGAUAUGGAAGCGUUCCUCACACUUACCGAUGGGGACUUGAAGGAGCUGGGUAUUAAGACAGAUGGGUCCAGGCAGCAGAUUCUGGCAGCCAUUUCUGAACUGAACGCAGGCAAGGGACGGGAGAGACAAAUUUUACAGGAAACCAUUCACAACUUCCAUUCUUCCUUUGAGAGCAGCGCCAGCAACACCAGGGCCCCUGG